rnacentral:tRNA from 1 species
AGGUCUGUAGCUCCAAUUGGUAGAGCGUCGGUCUCCAAAACCGAAUGUUGUCGGUUCGAAUCCGGCCAGGCCUGCCA